CGCCCUCACCCUUUCCUUUCUUUCUUUUCUCUCUUCUUUCCUUUCUUCCUCUUCUCUCCUUCUCCUCUCUAUUCUCUCGCACGCACCAGCCCCCACCCCUUCACUCCAUCACACACACACUUGAGUGUGGAACUGAAGGACAGAACGAAAUCAUGUGGGCAGAGAGACUGAGAUCGUGAGAGAUGCGGAGACUAGACCGUGAGGGAGCCGAUUUCUAGUGUAGUUAAAGGAUAUUUUGACUAGCCGGAAGUCAGCUUUUUGGUGGGCCUUCGAUGGGUCGACAAUGGUAGAACCAAAGGAGAACUUCUAAUGGGUGAAUUGAAGUGAUUUCCAGUGAUUUUCAUUGGAUUUCCAAUAGUUUUGAGAAACUUUGAAGAAGGAUCGUGUCCGGAUUGGAGGCUUUAUUUGGUUCUCUAAUGUAGAGUCCAAGUGACUAGCAUCCAAGGGAAUGUUCAAGUCAAGAGUCCAAUGCAGCCAAGAUGGCGGGCUCAUAAUUCCACCUAUGCGGUAUACUAUUAUGCAACCCCCGCAAUCGUGCCAACUCUAAUGUUGUGACCGAAGCUCGCCGUGAUGAUCAUAAUUGCUGGACCACGGGUAUCCACUAUUUUAUAGGUUUUAUUUAUGGUUUGUGUCGCUUGUGUCAGUUGUUAUUGUAUAAGUCAUUUCUGUUAUGUAAUUAAUAUGUGUCUGAUUUGAGGAAACACUUAAACAGAUAGAUGUGAUAUGGCUCUUUGGUUAUGAUUAGAUCGUAGUAGAGUUUAUAUUGUGA